GCCUGAUUAUAAGUAUUGGAAAUCAUUGGUAGGAGAAAGCUUAUUCACGUCUGUUACAGAUUCAAGAUAUAAGAGAAAUAAAAAGCUUAUACUGGCCUCCCUUACUCUGAACAACGUCAAGGAAUUUUUCGAUUCGUUUAAUAAACAUACGGACAAUUUAAUUAGUACUCUUAAUA